CCUUUUCAAAUAAGUGAUUCGUUUAAAUUCUAGUCAGAUAUUAUCAGUUACACAGUGUGUUAGUGACCUAAUACAAUAAAUACGGGGUCAGUAAAUUCCAUAAGGGAUUUGAGCGAAAAUAGAACCUCAUAUGGAAUUUACUGACCCUGUAUAUAUCGUAUUAGGUCACUAAAACACUGUGUAACGAAUUUAUCUUGCCGACUAUCUUUAUUAGUAGAA
rnacentral:lncRNA from 1 species